AACGUACGCUGGCGGCACGCCUAACACAUGCAAGUCGAACGAAGUAGCAAUACUUAGUGGCAGACGGGUGAGUAACGUGUAGGUAUCUGCCCUUUGGCCUGGAAUAACACGAGGAAACUUGUGCUAAUACCGGAUAAGUCUUUACGGAGAAAGCUUUAUGCACCAUUGGAUGAGCCUGCACUUGAUUAGUUUGUUGGUGGGGUAAUGGCCUACCAAGACUGUGAUCAAUAGCUGAUUUGAGAGGAUGAUCAGCCACAUUGGGACUGAGACACGGCCCAAACUCCUACGGGAGGCAGCAGUGGGGAAUCUUGCACAAUGGAGGAAACUCUGAUGCAGCGAUGCCGCGUGAGUGAAGAAGGCCCUUGGGUUGUAAAGCUCUUUCGUCGGGGAAGAAAAUGACUGUACCCGAAUAAGAAGGUCCGGCUAACUUCGUGCCAGCAA
rnacentral:rRNA from 1 species